rnacentral:sRNA from 1 species
GCUGGGCAUGGUGGGGCAUGCCUGUAAUCCCAGCUUCCUAGGAGGUUGAAGCAGGAAGGAUUGUAAGUUUGAGGCCAACCUAGAGAAGUUCUGUCUCAA